AAGGCCCUGCUUUUGUGGGGUGCUCGAGUGGCGAACGGGUGAGUAACACGUGAGUAACCUGCCCUUGACUUUGGGAUAACUUCAGGAAACUGGGGCUAAUACCGGAUAGGAGCUCCUGCUGCAUGGUGGGGGUUGGAAAGUUUCGGCGGUUGGGGAUGGACUCGCGGCUUAUCAGCUUGUUGGUGGGGUAGUGGCUUACCAAGGCUUUGACGGGUAGCCGGCCUGAGAGGGUGACCGGCCACAUUGGGACUGAGAUACGGCCCAGACUCCUACGGGAGGCAGCAGUGGGGAAUAUUGCACAAUGGGCGGAAGCCUGAUGCAGCAACGCCGCGUGCGGGAUGACGGCCUUCGGGUUGUAAACCGCUUUCGCCUGUGACGAAGCGUGAGUGACGGUAAUGGGUAAAGAAGCACCGGCUAACUACGUGCCAGCAGCCGCGGUGAUACGUAGGGUGCGAGCGUUGUCCGGAUUUAUUGGGCGUAAAGGGCUCGUAGUGG
rnacentral:rRNA from 1 species